rnacentral:rRNA from 1 species
UACGUAGGGUGCAGGCGUUAAUCGGAAUUACUGGGCGUAAAGCGUGCGCAGGCGGCUUUGCAGGACAGAUGUGAAAUCCCCGGGCUUAACCUGGGAACUGCAUUUGUGACUGCAUGGCUGGAGUGCGGCAGAGGGGGAUGGAAUUCCGCGUGUAGCAGUGAAAUGCGUAGAUAUGCGGAGGAACACCGAUGGCGAAGGCAAUCCCCUGGGCCUGCACUGACGCUCAUGCACGAAAGCGUGGGGAGCAAACAGG